UACGGAGGGUGCAAGCGUUGUCCGGAAUCAUUGGGCGUAAAGAGUUCGUAGGUGGCAUGUUAAGUCUGGUGUUAAAGGCCGAAGCUCAACUUCGGUAAGGCACUGGAUACUGGCAAGCUUGAAUGUGGUAGAGGUAAAGGGAAUUCCUGGUGUAGCGGUGAAAUGCGUAGAUAUCAGGAGGAACAUCGGUGGCGUAAGCGCUUUACUGGGCCAUAAUUGACACUGAGGAACGAAAGCCGGGGUAGCAAAUGGGAUUAGAUACCCCAGUAGUCCCGGCCGUAAACGAUGGAUACUAGGUGUUGCGGGUAUCGACCCCUGCAGUGCCGUAGCUAACGCGAUAAGUAUCCCGCCUGGGGAGUACGCACGCAAGUGUG
rnacentral:rRNA from 1 species